GAAUGAACCAGAAACGGGGGAAACACUUCAGUCCAAACAACAGACACAGAAGAAAAAGAGGUGGAUGUGGAUGACACGAGUGACAGGUGAGCUGAACGUCUCUGGGAGGCGGCAGCUCGACGAAAUCACAGCGUGAAUCAUCAGAUUACCAUCUGUUUGCUUGCAGCCUAGAAGUGUAGAAACUCCCAUCUGUCUCCUCUUGUUUAGUUCUAGUCCAGUGAAAACAGUCUGAGUGAACAUCUCUGAUGGUCUGUAUAUGGGAUAGAUCUAC